AUUGAACGCUGGCGGCAUGCUUUACACAUGCAAGUCGAACGGUAACAGGUUAAGCUGACGAGUGGCGAACGGGUGAGUAAUGCAUCGGAACGUGCCCGAUCGUGGGGGAUAACGCAGCGAAAGCUGCGCUAAUACCGCAUACGAUCUGAGGAUGAAAGCGGGGGACCGUAAGGCCUCGCGCGAUCGGAGCGGCCGAUGUCAGAUUAGGUAGUUGGUGGGGUAAAGUCUCACCAAGCCAACGAUCUGUAGCUGGUCUGAGAGGACGAACAGCCAAAGUGGGACUGAGACACGGCCCAGAGUCCGACGGUGGGCAGCAGUGGGGAAUUUUGGACAAUGGGCGAUAGCCUGAUCCAGCAAUGCCGCGUGCAGGAAGAAGGCCUUCGGGUUGUAAACUGCUUUUGUACGGAGCGAAAAGGCUCUCUCUAAUACAGGGGGCUCAUGACGGUACCGUAAGAAUAAGCACCGGCUAACUACGUGCCAGCAGCCGCAGUAA
rnacentral:rRNA from 1 species